rnacentral:lncRNA from 1 species
CGCUCGAUACGUUCCUUAAAAAGUCCGAUUCAUUCAGAUUCUUCUCCCAACUAAGGAAGAGAUCUUGGCGGAAUUGCCACAUAUGAAAUUGAGCACAAUUUUCCAAAGAAAUAGCCCACUUGUUUCUCGAGAAGAAACCAUUUAGGUUGAAAGCCAUAGUGUUGAUACCUAAAGUAGUGAACCAGAUACCUACUACAGGCCAAGCAGCUAGGAAGAAGUAUAACGAACGAGAAUUGUUGAAACUAGCAUAUUGGAAGAUUAAUCGGCCAAAAUAACCGUGAACGGCUACAAUAUUAUAAGUUUCUUCCUCUUGAUCGAAUCCGUAACCUGCAUUAGCAGAGCCUUAUGUCAAGACCUACGGGCUAAGGGACAGUCUCAGGUAGACAGUUUCUAUGGGACGUAGGCCUCCCAAAGGGUAACGGAGGCAUGCAAAGGUUUCAUUGGGUUGGACGGAGAUUGGUCCUCGAGUGUAAAGGCAGAAGGGAGCUUGAUUGCAAGACCCACCCGUCGAGUAGGGACGAAAGUUGGCCUUAGUGAUCUGACGGUACCGAGUGGAAGGGCCAUCACUCAACGUAUAAAAGUUACUCUAAGGAUAACGGGCUGAUCUUCCCAAGAGCUCACAUCGACAGGAAGGUUUGGCACCUCAAUCUCGGCUCUUCGCCACCUGGGGCUGUAGUAUGUUCCAAGGGUUGGACUGUUCGUCCUUUAAAGCGGUACGUGAGCUGGGUUCAGAACGUCAUAAGACAGUUCGGUCCAUAUCUGGUGUGGGAAUUAGGGCAUUGAGAGGACCUUUCCCUAGUAGGAGAGGAUUGGGAAGGACACACCUCUGGUGUACCAGUUAUUGUGCCCAAGAUAAACGCUGGGUAGCCAAGUGCGGAGCGGAUAACCAUUGAAAGCAUCUAAGUAGUAAAUUCACCCCAAGAUGAGUGCUCUUCUAUUCCAACUUCCCCAGAGCUUUCGGUAGCACAGUCGAGACAGCGACGGGUUC